UACGAAGGGGGCUAGCGUUGUUCGGAAUUACUGGGCGUAAAGCGCACGUAGGCGGAUAUUUAAGUCAGGGGUGAAAUCCCAGAGCUCAACUCUGGAACUGCCUUUGAUACUGGGUAUCUUGAGUAUGGAAGAGGUAAGUGGAAUUGCGAGUGUAGAGGUGAAAUUCGUAGAUAUUCGCAGGAACACCAGUGGCGAAGGCGGCUUACUGGUCCAUUACUGACGCUGAGGUGCGAAAGCGUGGGGAGCAAACAGG
rnacentral:rRNA from 2 species